GUGGGGAAUAUUGGACAAUGGGCGCAAGCCUGAUCCAGCCAUGCCGCGUGAGUGAUGAAGGCCCUAGGGUUGUAAAGCUCUUUCAGUGGGGACGAUAAUGACGGUACCCACAGAAGAAGCCCCGGCUAACUUCGUGCCAGCAGCCGCGGUAAUACGAAGGGGGCUAGCGUUGUUCGGAUUUACUGGGCGUAAAGCGCACGUAGGCGGAUCGUUAAGUCGAGGGUGAAAUCCUGGAGCUCAACUCCAGAACUGCCUUCGAUACUGGCGAUCUUGAGUCCGGAAGAGGUGAGUGGAACUCCUAGUGUAGAGGUGGAAUUCGUAGAUAUUAGGAAGAACACCAGUGGCGAAGGCGGCUCACUGGUCCGGUACUGACGCUGAGGUGCGAAAGCGUGGGGAGCAAACAGGAUUAGAAACCCUAGUAGUCC
rnacentral:rRNA from 1 species